rnacentral:misc_RNA from 1 species
GAGAUGCGAUAAGUAAUGUGAAUUGCAGAAUUCAGUGAAUCAUCGAAUCUUUGAACGCACAUUGCGCCCCCUGGUAUUCCGGGGGGCAUGCCUGUUCGAGCGUCAUUUCACCACUCAAGCCUCGCUUGGUAUUGGGCGACGCGGUCCGCCGCGCGCCUCAAAUCGACCGGCUGGGUCUUCCGUCCCCUCAGCGUUGUGGAAACUAUUCGCUAAAGGGUGCCGCGGGAGGUCACGCCGCAAAACAACCCCAUUUCUAAGGUUGACCUCGGAUCAGGUAGGGAUACCCGCUGAACUUAAGC